AACGCGAAGAACCUUACCUGGGCUCGAAAUGUAGUGGACUGGGGUAGAAAUAUCCCUUCCUAGCAAUAGGUCGCUAUAUAGGUGCUGCAUGGCUGUCGUCAGCUCGUGUCGUGAGAUGUUGGGUUAAGUCCCGCAACGAGCGCAACCCUUAUCUCCAGUUGCUACCAUUUAGUUGAGCACUCUGGUGAGACUGCCUCGGAUAACGGGGAGGAAGGCGGGGAUGACGUCAAGUCCUCAUGGCCUUUAUGUCCAGGGCUACACACGUGCUACAAUGGUCGGUACAAACCGUCGCAAACCCGCGAGGGGGAGCUAAUCGGAAAAAGCCGGCCUCAGUUCGGAUUGGAGUCUGCAACUCGACUCCAUGAAGCUGGAAUCGCUAGUAAUCGCAGAUCAGAAUGCUGCGGUGAAUACGUUCCCGGGCCUUGUACACACCGCACGA
rnacentral:rRNA from 1 species